GACAGAGGGUGCAAACGUUGUUCGGAAUUACUGGGCGUAAAGCGCGUGUAGGCGGCUAAGUAAGUCGGGCGUGAAAUCCCACGGCUCAACCGUGGAAGUGCACUCGAAACUGCAUAGCUAGAGUCCUGGAGAGGAAGGUGGAAUGCUUGGUGUAGAGGUGAAAUUCGUAGAUAUCAAGCGGAACACCGGUGGCGAAGGCGGCCUUCUGGACAGUGACUGACGCUGAGACGCGAAAGCGUGGGGAG
rnacentral:rRNA from 1 species